rnacentral:lncRNA from 1 species
CCCUCGGCCGUCAGGGCCGCUCGGAGGGAGUUCUCCCGGAGCCCGAGACGGGAGGGCGGCUGGCGGGGCUGGGCUGCAGUUGCACCGCCGCGCCUGAUGUUGGAAUCCCCCAAGUCCUGAUUGAAGCACUUGAAGACUCCUGACCCCACAUCCCUGCUUUAUCCUGUGGGUCAUUGCACACCUCACCUGGAGCAUGGACUGUACUUUUGUGUCAUAAUCCCAAUACAUACCUGUCUACACAACACUUCAGACGCUAAUUCUACAAAGGUUUUCCUACGGAGCCCCGUGG